rnacentral:rRNA from 1 species
GCAGUCCAAGAAUAUUAGUCAAUGCUCGCAAGAGUGAACGAGCUAACUGAAAGAAUAUAUAAUCUAAAGUUAGGAAUCUUAUAAAUUUAUAUUAUAAGUUUAAAGACGAAUCUAACUAACAGUGUCGUCCAAAUUCUGGUGCCAGAAGACUCGGUAAUACCAGAGACGCGAACGUUAAUCAUCUUGAAUGGGCAUAAAGGGUUUGUAGGCGGCUUAUUUAUUAAUAGGCUAGAAUCUUAGAGAGGUUAAUAAAAUACUUAGAGGAGGGCUGAUAUCCUUAGAUCCUAAGUGGAAUCCUAAUUGCGAAGGCCAUUUUCCACUACAGAUUGACGCUGAAAACGAAGGUUAGGAUAGGAACUAGGAUUAGAGACCCUAUUACCCCUAACUGUAAACGAUGAAUGGCAGAUAUUUACAGUUGUAAGUGUCGAAGUGAAUACGAUAACCAUUCCGCCUUGCCAGUAUACUUGCAAAAGUGAAAACAAAAAAAUUAGUCGGUCCUAAAGCAAACGAAGUGAAGCAUGUUAUUUAAUUC